CAGCAGUCGCCGCGGGAAUACGUAGGUGGCAAGCGUUGUCCGGAAUUAUUGGGCGUAAAGCGCACGCAGGCGGUUGCCCAAGUCAGAUGUGAAAGCCCCGGGCUUAACCUGGGAACUGCAUUUGAAACUGGGCGACUAGAGUAUGAAAGAGGAAAGCGGAAUUUCCAGUGUAGCAGUGAAAUGCGUAGAUAUUGGAAGGAACACCGAUGGCGAAGGCAGCCCCCUGGGAUAACACUGACGCUCAUGCACGAAAGCGUGGGGAGCAAACAGGAUUAGAUACCCCCGUAGUCCCUGUCUCUUAUAC
rnacentral:rRNA from 1 species